CAAUAGCGUAUACUAAAGUUGUUGCGGUUAAAAAGCUCGUAGUUGGAUUUCUGCUGAGAACGACCGGUCCGCCCUUUGGGUGUGUAUCUGGCUCUUUCUUGGCAUCUUCUUGGUGAACGUUGCUGCACUUGACUGUGUGGAGCGCUACCCAGGACUUUUACUUUGAGGAAAUUAGAGUGUUUCAAGCAGGCAUACGCCUUGAAUACAUUAGCAUGGAAUAAUAAGAUAGGACCUCGGUUCUAUUUUGUUGGUUUCUAGAGCUGAGGUAAUGAUUAAUAGGGAUAGUUGGGGGCAUUCGUAUUUAACUGUCAGAGGUGAAAUUCUUGGAUUUGUUAAAGACGGACCACUGCGAAAGCAUUUGCCAAGGAUGUUUUCAUUGA
rnacentral:rRNA from 1 species